rnacentral:rRNA from 1 species
GACGUAGGGCGCGAGCGUUGUCCGGAUUUAUUGGGCGUAAAGAGCUCGUAGGCGGUUUGGUAAGUCGGGUGUGAAAGCUCCGGGCUCAACUCGGAGAGGUCACUCGAUACUGCCAUGACUGGAGUCCGGUAGGGGGGUGUGGAAUUCCCAGUGUAGCGGUGAAAUGCGCAGAUAUUGGGAGGAACACCGGUGGCGAAGGCGGCGACCUGGUCCGAUACUGACGCUGAGGCGCGAAAGCGUGGGGAGCAAACAGG